UCACCGAACCGGAGGACACCAUGAAGUUCAAGCAUAUUCUGAUGCUCACCCUAGGUGCGGCCGCCGUGGCGGCACUCCCCGCCAUGGCGCAGGCGGCCCCGCAGCAGGCCGGGCAGGGCGCCACCGCGCAGAAGAGCGACGACGCCAAGGCCAAGACCGAAGCCGAGCGCAAGGCCGAGCGCCGCGCCGCCGCCGCUGCGCAGAAGCCCAAGGCCGAUAGCGCUCCGCGCGAGGAAGAGGAAGAAGAAAAGCCCUCGCGCUGAGUCUUCUGCCAGGUCACCGCGUGACACAGACGCCCCGGCUUCGGCCGGGGCGUCUGCAUUUGCAGAUGCGUAG
rnacentral:sRNA from 1 species